ACAGAGGUCUCAAGCGUUGUUCGGAAUCACUGGGCGUAAAGCGUGCGUAGGCGGUUUCGUAAGUCGUGUGUGAAAGGCGUGGGCUCAACCCGCGGACUGCACAUGAUACUGCGAGACUAGAGUAAUGGAGGGGGAACCGGAAUUCUCGGUGUAGCAGUGAAAUGCGUAGAUAUCGAGAGGAACACUCGUGGCGAAGGCGGGUUCCUGGACAUUAACUGACGCUGAGGCACGAAGGCCAGGGGAGCGAAAGG
rnacentral:rRNA from 1 species